UACGGGGGGGGCAAGCGUUGUUCGGAAUUACUGGGCGUAAAGGGCUCGUAGGUGGCCAAUUAAGUCAGACGUGAAAUCCCUCGGCUUAACCGGGGAACUGCGUCUGAUACUGGAUGGCUUGAGUUUGGGAGAGGGACGCGGAAUUCCAGGUGUAGCGGUGAAAUGCGUAGAUAUCUGGAGGAACACCGGUGGCGAAGGCGGCGUCCUGGACCAACACUGACACUGAGGAGCGAAAGCCAGGGGAGCAAACGGG
rnacentral:rRNA from 1 species